CAGUCGCCACGGGAAUACGGAGGGUGCAAGCGUUACUCGGAAUUACUGGGCGUAAAGCGCACGCAGGCGGUGGUUUAAGUCUGCUGUGAAAUCCCCGGGCUCAACCUGGGAAUGGCAGUGGAUACUGGCAGGCUAGAGUGUGUUAGAGGAUGGUGGAAUUCCCGGUGUAGCGGUGAAAUGCGUAGAGAUCGGGAGGAACAUCAGUGGCGAAGGCGGCCAUCUGGAACAACACUGACGCUGAGGCACGAAAGCGUGGGGAGCAAACAGGAUUAGAUACCCCCGUAGUCCCUGUCUAUUAUAA
rnacentral:rRNA from 1 species